UGACAAGACUCCAAGGACUGGUCA
rnacentral:miRNA from 1 species